CCAGACUCCUACGGGAGGCAGCAGUGAGGAAUAUUGGUCAAUGGGCUUACGCCUGAACCAGCCAAGUCGCGUGAGGGAAGACUGCCCUAUGGGUUGUAAACCUCUUUUGUCAGGGAGCAAUUGGCGCUACGUGUAGCGUUAUCGAGAGUACCUGAAGAAAAAGCAUCGGCUAACUCCGUGCCAGCAGCCGCGGUAAUACGUAGGGGGCAAGCGUUAUCCGGAUUUACUGGGUGUAAAGGGAGCGUAGACGGCAGAGCAAGUCUGAAGUGAAAGCCUGCGGCCCAACUGCGGGACUGCUUUGGAAACUGCCCGGCUAGAGUGCUGGAGAGGUAAGCGGAAUUCCUAGUGUAGCGGUGAAAUGCGUAGAUAUUAGGAGGAACACCAGUGGCGAAGGCGGCUUACUGGACAGUAACUGACGUUGAGGCUCGAAAGCGUGGGGAGCAAACAGGAUUAGAUACCCUGGUA
rnacentral:rRNA from 1 species